rnacentral:antisense_RNA from 1 species
CUUGACCGCGCCCAGAUAGAGCGGCCGGUCCGGGGGGCGCGCCGCACCGUAGGCGGCGAGCAGGGCGUCCGCCUC